rnacentral:rRNA from 1 species
AUAAGUUACUAAGGGCAUAUGGCGGAUGCCUUGGUACGAGAAGCCGAUGAAGGACGCGACUACCUGCGAAACGCUACGGAUAGGUGGAAAUAACCUAAGACCCGUAGAUCUCCGAAUGGGGCAACCCAACCAGAGUAAUGUCUGGCUAUCUACAACUGAAUAAAUAGGUUGUAAGAAGGCAACCCAGGGAACUGAAACAUCUAAGUACCUGGUGGAAAAGAAAACAAUAGUUAUUUCCUUAGUAGUGGCGAGCGAAAAGGAAACAGUCUAAACCAUUUAACGUGUUAAAGGAAGCAACCGUUGCGUUAUUGGUGUUGUGGGAAUUGAUCUGACUGAAUUGCUAAUAAGUCGAAGAGUAAGAAAUUAUAUUACUAGCCGAAUGUUCUGGAAAGUUCAACCAUAGAAGGUGAUAGUCCUUUAGGCGAAAGUUUUAUAACUCUUUGGAUCAGUCUCCCAAGUACCACGGAAUAAGUGGAAGUCUGUGGGAAUCUGCCAGAACCAUCUGGUAAGACUAAAUACUCUCUCGUAACCGAUAGCGCAUAGUACCGUGAGGGAAAGGUGAAAAGAACUCCUAUUAGGAGAGUGAAAUAGUACCUGAAACCAUAUGCUUACAAGCAGUUGGAGUCUCGAUUUAUCGGGAUGACAGCGUGCCUUUUGGAUAAUGAGCCUACGAGUUACUCGUACGUUGCAAGGUUAAGUUUCUAAGAAACGCAGCCGAAGCGAAAGCAAGUCCUAACCGGGCGAUUUAAGUAACGUGCGGUAGACGCGAAACCGUGUGAUCUACCCUCGUCCAGGAUGAAGUGAGGGUAAAACCUCAUGGAGGUCCGAACCAGUAUGGGUUGAAAACCGUUUGGAUGAGGUGAGGGUAGGGGUGAAAGGCCAAUCAAACUCGGAAAUAGCUCGUAUUCCCCGAAAUAGCUUUAGGGCUAGCCUCGGAUAAAAGUGUAACGGAGGUAGAGCACUGAUUGGGCUAGGGCCGUCACAACGGUACCAAACCCAGACAAACUCCGAAUUCCGUAUACAUGUUUUCCGGGAGUCAGGCUACGAGGGAUAAGCUUCGUGGCCAAAAGGGAAACAACCCAAACCAUCAACUAAGGCCCCCAAAUGAUAGUUAACAGAGAAAGGAUGUUGAGUUGCUCAGACAACUAGGAUGUUGGCUUAGAAGCAGCCAUUCAUUUAAAGAGUGCGUAAUAGCUCACUAGUCAAGCGACUUGGCGUCGACAAUACUCGGGACUUAAACUAUCUGCCGAAGUUAUGGAUUCUCCGAUUUAUCGGAGAGUGGUAGGGGAACAUUCUAUGUGCACUGAAGGUGUGGUGUGAACCAUGCUGGAGCGCAUAGAAAAGCAAAUGUAGGCAUAAGUAACGAUAAGAUCGAUGAAAAAUCGAUCCACCGAAAAUCUAAGGUUUCCUGAGCAAUGUUAGUCAUCUCAGGGUUAGUCGAUCCCUAAGCCGAGGCUGAAAGGCGUAGGUGAUGGAAAACAGGUUAACAUUCCUGUACCUGGUAAAAAUCGUUUGACUGUAAGGAGGGACGCAGAAGUGAAGAUCAGCCACCUGUUGGAUUAGGUGGUCUAAGCAAGUAGGCUGAAAGUGUAGGCAAAUCCGCACUUUCUUAAGGCUGAGAUGCGAACGGGAGUCCCUAGGACAUAAACUGAUCGUAAUCAUACUGCCGAGAAAAGCUUCGUACAGAAGAGUUUUAUCAGAUCGUACCGCAAACCGACACAGGUAGAUGGGAUGAGUAUUCUAAGGUGCUCGAGUGAGCCGUGGUUAAGGAACUCGGCAAAUUAACCCCGUAACUUCGGGAAAAGGGGUGCCCCAAGUAAGUGAAAUUAUUUCUAACGUAGCUGAAAGGGGCCGCAGUGAAAUGGCCCAAGCGACUGUUUAACAAAAACAUAUGUCUCUGCGAAGUCAAUCAAGACGAUGUAUAGGGACUGACACCUGCCCGGUGCUGGAAGGUUAAGAGGAGUGGUUAGCCGCAAGGCGAAGCUAUGAAUCGAAGCCCCAGUAAACGGCGGCCGUAACUAUAACGGUCCUAAGGUAGCGAAAUUCCUUGUCGGGUAAGUUCCGACCUGCACGAAUGGUGUAACGAUUUGGGCACUGUCUCAACCACGGGCUCGGUGAAAUUGUGGUACCGGUGAAGACGCCGGUUACCCGCAUAUGGACGGAAAGACCCCGUGCACCUUUACUGCACCCUAGCAUUGGGUUCGAGUAAAGCAUGUGUAGGAUAGGUGGGAGGCUUUGAAGCCGGGGCGCUAGCUUCGGUGGAGCCAACGGUGAAAUACCACCCUUGUUUUAUUUGGAUUCUAACCUCGGCCCUUGAAUCAGGGUCAGGAACAGUGUUAGGCGGGUAGUUUGACUGGGGCGGUCGCCUCCUAAAUUGUAACGGAGGCUCUCAAUGGUUCCCUCAGCAUGGUUGGUAAUCAUGCGGCGAGUGUAAAGGCAAAAGGGAGCUUGACUGCGAGACUUACAAGUCGAGCAGGUGCGAAAGCAGGACUUAGUGAUCCGACGGCUGCGAGUGGAAGUGCCGUCGCUCAAAGGAUAAAAGGUACGCCGGGGAUAACAGGCUGAUCUUACCCAAGAGUUCAUAUCGACGGUAAGGUUUGGCACCUCGAUGUCGGCUCAUCGCAUCCUGGGGCUGAAGAAGGUCCCAAGGGUUUGGCUGUUCGCCAAUUAAAGCGGUACGUGAGCUGGGUUCAGAACGUCGUGAGACAGUUCGGUCCCUAUCCUAUGCGGGCGCAGGAUACUUGAGAAGGGUCGCUUCUAGUACGAGAGGACCGAAGUGAACGUAUCUCUAGUGCACCAAUUGUCACGCCAGUGGCAUAGUUGGGUAGCUACAUACGGUUGUGAUAAGCGCUGAAAGCAUCUAAGCGCGAAGCACGCUUCAAGAUAAGGUAUCCCUUACGUAAGUAACUAAAGACUCCUCGGAGAUGACGAGGUUGAUAGGCUAUAGGUGUAAGUGCAGCAAUGUAUUCAGCCAAGUAGUACUAAUAGGUCGUGAGGCUUAUCCAU